rnacentral:rRNA from 1 species
UACAGAGGGUGCAAGCGUUAAUCGGAGUUACUGGGCGUAAAGGGCGCGUAGGCGGUUUGAUAAGUAAGAUUUGAAAUCCCCGGGCUUAACCUGGGAACUGGAUCUUAAACUGUUGGACUAGAGUGCAGUAGAGGGUGGUGGAAUUUCCGGUGUAGCGGUGAAAUGCGUAGAGAUCGGAAGGAACAUCAGUGGCGAAGGCGACCACCUGGACUGAAACUGACGCUGAGGCGCGAGAGCGUGGGGAGCAAACAGG